CUUAGCGUUGCUAAGGCCGAUGGCGACCGGCGCACGGGUGAGUAACACGUAUCCAACCUGCCGUCUACUCUUGGACAGCCUUCUGAAAGGAAGAUUAAUACAAGAUGGCAUCAUGAGUCCGCAUGUUCACAUGAUUAAAGGUAUUCCGGUAGACGAUGGGGAUGCGUUCCAUUAGAUAGUAGGCGGGGUAACGGCCCACCUAGUCUUCGAUGGAUAGGGGUUCUGAGAGGAAGGUCCCCCACAUUGGAACUGAGACACGGUCCAAACUCCUACGGGAGGCAGCAGUGAGGAAUAUUGGUCAAUGGGCGAGAGCCUGAACCAGCCAAGUAGCGUGAAGGAUGACUGCCCUAUGGGUUGUAAACUUCUUUUAUAAAGGAAUAAAGUCGGGUAUGGAUACCCGUUUGCAUGUACUUUAUGAAUAAGGAUCGGCUAACUCCGUGCCAGCAGCCGCGGUAAUACGGAGGAUCCGAGCGUUAUCCGGAUUUAUUGCGUUUAAAGGGAGCGUAGAUGGAUGUUUAAGUCAGUUGUGAAAGUUUGCGGCUCAACCGUACAAUUGCAGUUGAUACUGCAUAUCUUGAGUGCAGCUGAGGCAGGCGGAAUUCGUGGUGUAGCGGUGAAAUGCUUAGAUAUCACGAAGAACUCCGAUUGCGAAGGCAGCCUGCUAAGCUGCAACUGACAUUGAGGCUCGAAAGUGUGGGUAUCAAACAGGAUUAGAUACCCUGGUAGUCCACACGGUAAACGAUGAAUACUCGCUGUUUGCGAUAUACUGCAAGCGGCCAAGCGAAAGCGUUAAGUAUUCCACCUGGGGAGUACGCCGGCAACGGUGAAACUCAAAGGAAUUGACGGGGGCCCGCACAAGCGGAGGAACAUGUGGUUUAAUUCGAUGAUACGCGAGGAACCUUACCCGGGCUUAAAUUGCAGAUGAAUUACGGUGAAAGCCGUAAGCCGCAAGGCAUCUGUGAAGGUGCUGCAUGGUUGUCGUCAGCUCGUGCCGUGAGGUGUCGGCUUAAGUGCCAUAACGAGCGCAACCCUUGUUGUCAGUUACUAACAGGUUCCGCUGAGGACUCUGACAAGACUGCCAUCGUAAGAUGUGAGGAAGGUGGGGAUGACGUCAAAUCAGCACGGCCCUUACGUCCGGGGCUACACACGUGUUACAAUGGGGGGUACAGAGGGCCGCUACCACGCGAGUGGAUGCCAAUCCCCAAAACCUCUCUCAGUUCGGACUGGAGUCUGCAACCCGACUCCACGAAGCUGGAUUCGCUAGUAAUCGCGCAUCAGCCACGGCGCGGUGAAUACGUUCCCGGGCCUUGUACACACCGCC
rnacentral:rRNA from 1 species